GUGCCAGCAGCCGCGGUAAUACAGAGGGUGCAAACGUUGUUCGGAAUUACUGGGCGUAAAGCGCGUGCAGGCGGCCUUGCAAGUCGGACGUGAAAUCCCACGGCUCAACCGUGGAAGUGCAUUCGAAACUGCGAGGCUGGAGUCCUGGAGAGGAAAGUGGAAUACUCGGUGUAGAGGUGAAAUUCGUAGAUAUCGAGUGGAACACCGGUGGCGAAGGCGGCUUUCUGGACAGGUACUGACGCUGAGACGCGAAAGCGUGGGGAGCAAACAGGAUUAGAUACCCUCGUAGUCC
rnacentral:rRNA from 1 species